rnacentral:rRNA from 1 species
GUGGGGAAUAUUGGACAAUGGGCGAAAGCCUGAUCCAGCCAUGCCGCGUGUGUGAAGAAGGUCUUCGGAUUGUAAAGCACUUUAAGUUGGGAGGAAGGGCAGUAAGUUAAUACCUUGCUGUUUUGACGUUACCGACAGAAUAAGCACCGGCUAACUUCGUGCCAGCAGCCGCGGUAAUACGAAGGGUGCAAGCGUUAAUCGGAAUUACUGGGCGUAAAGCGCGCGUAGGUGGUUUUGUAAGUUGGAGGUGAAAUCACAGGGCUCAACCUGGGAACUGCCUCCAAAACUGCAUGACUAGAGUACGGUAGAGGGUAGUGGAAUUUCCUGUGUAGCGGUGAAAUGCGUAGAUAUAGGAAGGAACACCAGUGGCGAAGGCGACUACCUGGACUGAUACUGACACUGAGGUGCGAAAGCGUGGGGAACAAACAGGAUUAGAUACCCGGGUAGUCC